AACGAACGCUGGCGGCAGGCUUAACACAUGCAAGUCGAGCGAGACCUUCGGGUCUAGCGGCAGACGGGUGAGUAACGCGUGGGAACGUGCCCUUCUCUACGGAAUAGCCCCGGGAAACUGGGAGUAAUACCGUAUACGCCCUUUGGGGGAAAGAUUUAUCGGAGAAGGAUCGGCCCGCGUUGGAUUAGGUAGUUGGUGGGGUAAUGGCCCACCAAGCCGACGAUCCAUAGCUGGUUUGAGAGGAUGAUCAGCCACACUGGGACUGAGACACGGCCCAGACUCCUACGGGAGGCAGCAGUGGGGAAUCUUAGACAAUGGGGGCAACCCUGAUCUAGCCAUGCCGCGUGAGUGAUGAAGGCCUUAGGGUUGUAAAGCUCUUUCAGCUGGGAAGAUAAUGACGGUACCAGCAGAAGAAGCCCCGGCUAACUCCGUG
rnacentral:rRNA from 1 species